AACGAACGCUGGCGGCAGGCCUAACACAUGCAAGUCGAGCGAGGACUUAGGUACUAGUGGCGGACGGGUGAGUAACGUGUGGGACCGUGCCCUUUUCUUCGGGAUUGUCCUGGGAAACUGGGGGUAAUACCGGAUGAGCCCCUUGGGGGAAAGAUUCAUCUUCGAAGGAGCGGCCCGCGUUGGAUUAGGUAGUUGGUGGGGUAAUGGCCUACCAAGCCGACGAUCGAUAGCUGGUUUGAGAGGAUGAGCAGCCACACUGGGACUGAGACACGGCCCAGACUCCUACGGGAUGCAGCAGUGGGUAAUCUUAGACAAUGGGGGAAACCCUGAUCUAGCCAUGCCGCGUGAGCGAUGAAGGCCUGAGGGUUGUAAAGCUCUUUAAGCUGGGAAGAUAAUGACGGUACCAACAGAAGAAGCCCCGGCUAACUCCGUG
rnacentral:rRNA from 1 species